rnacentral:rRNA from 1 species
GACGAACGCUGGCGGCGUGCCUAAUACAUGCAAGUCGAACGCAGUGGGGACGGGUGAGUAACACGUGGGUAACCUCCCAUCAGAGGGGAUAACACUUGGAAACAGGUGCUAAACCGAUACUGAUGGAUGAACCCGCGGUGCAUUAGCUAGUUGUUGAGGUAACGUCUCAACAAUGCCACGCUGCAUAGCCGAUCUGAGAUGUGGAUCGUGCACACUGUGACUGAGACACGGCCCAGACUCCUACGUGAGGCAGCAGUAGGGAAUCUUCGGCAAUGGACGAAAGUCUGACCGAGCAACGCCGCGUGAGUGAAGAAGGUUUUCGGAUCGUAAAACUCUGUUGUUAGAGAAGCGGUAUCUAACCAGAAAGCCACGGCUAACUACGUGCCAGCAGCCGCGGUAAUUC